GACUGGGCAUGCUCACAAGCUACUUUCUCAGGCCUAUUUGGAGUCUCUUUUUUUUUUUUAAGUCUAGGUAGCCUGAGUGCAGAUACCCACUGCUGGCUCUGGUCCUGCAGUAGGGGCCUGCUUUGGAAAGAGCCAAACUACCCAGCUCCAGCCUUUGCCUGUGAAGAGCACAGGCAGCAAGUUAGCCUGAAGAGGGAAAGUGGUGGUGCCCAGUCGGACUGCAGAGAAAGAAAAGAAAAGAAGAAACUUGAAAGAAAAAAAACAACAACCUCAAAAUCAGAGAAGCCAGCGGACCCAGCAAGAAAAUGAGAGGCAACUCGAGAGCAGGAAGGAAAGGGGAAGGUUAUGUCAUUAGAGACUGGAAUCCAAUGUUUUGCUGAAACUCCAUGGAUACAGGAAGGAGCAGGCUUGGGCAAGUGGCCAAUUCCAUCAUCUUAAACUCAGCAAUAUGAACAAGGAAGGUAUCGUCUGAACAAGGAGGAGCUGGAAUGCACAGACAAGGGGAGAUGCAUUGCUCCACAGCAUAAAGGGCAGGAGUCAAUUCCUAAACCCAAACGAUUGCCAAGAGGUAGCUUACGUUAUGACACCUUCUGUCUAUCCUCAAAUCAUUGGCUAAGAAGCUAGGGUCUGAUCCUACAGGAUACUGAAUGCUCUUACUUCCCACUGACUGAGUGCUCAGCACCUGCUGGAUGUGGGCCCUCAAUGCGCUUUUUCUGCCUCCUUUUGAACACAGAGGGUCCGACUUAAUCUCUCUCUGAAGUCUGUGGCCAGUGACUGCUGAGGGAGCAGCAGCAGGCCUAGGGAUGCUGGGCCUCAUUUGCUGCAGUGUAACUCCUCUGGUUGGAACUGGAGAGUCAGUCCCAGUCUCCAGCCUGUAGGAUCCUUCACAGGAGAGAAGCGACAGGACUUGGCUUUAAUGAUACAAAGGGGAUUCUUCAUUAAGGCUACAGGACACGAACAAACCCUGUGUUUUUCUCUAGCUCCCAGACUGACUGACUGCAGUGUGCCCUGCCUACUGUCUCUACCCACUGUAUUCCUAAAUCCUGGUCCGGAUGUGGCACUCAUCUUUUGGAUUGCUUCACUACUCACCCCUUCCUGCAAGCUCACAUACCAGGAUGGGCCUUUCUCAAAAUUGCAAGACCCAAAUACCCCUGAACGCUGGGGAAAUUCAGAUCCAAACUCUGCAGUUUGGACCCAUGUCUGCUAUCAGAGUAAUGUCUCAAGGCAGCAUUCCCAGAGCUGCAGGAAGAGACAUGAAAGAAACACGUGAUGUAUUGCCUCCUAGACGCUAUGGUGUUGGAUGCAUUAGAAAUGUAGUAAGGUGGAUAGAUAGAUCAUUUAUUGCCCAGGCCACUGUCAUUCAGGAGCAGGUUAGAUCACUGUUCCCAGCCUACAUGAUGCUUCAUGACACUAAGCAGUGGGGUGAAUGGCAUCACGUUGGACGGUAGGAAUUGUAUAGAACACCAUUUCCCCUGAAGAAAUAGUUCACAUGCCUUAUAUAAUGAAUGAGCUCAUUUCACAUGCCUUUGCCAGAAACAAUAAAAGUUAGAAAAUGUCCCAGUAAUUAAAAUAAAGCGUUACCCAGAUUUAUAGUGAGAAAUGUGAAAUAUCAGGCAGUCGACCGUUGCUCCGAACUCACAAAUAUGCCUCACAUUGGUUAGAACAGGUUGCAUGCAUUACCAGGAACAGUGUGGGUCCAGAGUGAGUCCAGCGGGAGCCCCAGAACGGUUGUGGAGAGAAAGCCGAGGGGAGGGAAAGGUGCCAGCUGGCUUAGUACCCACUGCAUCUUGGGUCUUAGCAGUAAUGCCUGGAAUAUGCACAGUACAGAUUGUGGUCAUUGCAUCGGGAUGGGUUUUGGAUUACACAUGGGAAAUGAGGCAGGAGGGAGGGAGUCCCAUUCCCAGGCCUGCCACAUGCACCAAAGAAAUCGAGCAGAAACUUGGGAAAAACAAGAGGCAAUGCGAGACCAGUGCCAGCUAGCCAGCCUGCUCCAAGGGCUGGACAAUUGCAACUUGUUGCUAAUGCUCUCCAUAUAGACGCCCUGUGCCUUCUUGGAUGUGAGUGUAGGGCUCAUGGAUGGGGAUGGAGAGAGCAGUGCAGCACAGGCACGUGUACCGCUUCUUCAGUCUGGG